rnacentral:hammerhead_ribozyme from 1 species
GCACUGCCGAGGAGUCCCAUGGCGGGACGAAACGGCCGUCCAGUGC